AAAAACCAACCUGGCUAUUCCUAGGAAUGAUAAAAUAUCUUCCUUUGUAGAAGGAACAGUUAGAGAAUGGAUCAGAAUCUUUCUAUCUAGGGUAAUAGCUUUUUAGGUUGGGGUAAUUGUUCGUCCCAAAUAGAUGACCAAAGGACUGGACUUUAGAAGGUGAGACCCUGUAACCUUUACUGAAAAUGAAAUUCAGAAGAGCAGAGGUGUCAGUUUGGCAAAUUUUUUGAGAGGGGUUACACAGAAGAAUGCAAUCUAUAUAGUGGACAGUCCUAGAUUUAGGGAGAGAAAGAGAGAAGGUAAUUCAGAAACCAGGGCCUGGCCAAAUUGGUGUGGGCUGUGCUGGAAUCUCUGAGGUAGAACAGUCCAGGUAAGUUGUGUAGAAAAGUGGGUGUCAGGAUCUGUUCAGGAAAAGGCAAAUAUGUUCUGUGACUGGGUAUCUAGAGGGAUAGAGAAAGUAGCAUCCGGAGAUCUAAGAUUGAGAAAUGAGAAUUCCCCAAGGGGAUAGUGGGAAGAAGUGUAUAAGGAUUAGCCACAACAGGAUGUACAGGAACUAUGGCAGAAUUAAUGGACCUGAGGUUUUGAACCAGGAGAUAGGUUCCACUAAGUUUCCUAACUGCUAAUGUAGGGGUUUUAAAGGGGGAAGAGGUAGGGCAAAGGAGGUUUUUCCUUAAGAGAUCAGAGGUGAUAUACUUAAGGCCCCUGAGGCUCUGGAGUGAAAGCAGGUAUUGAGGUUGGGUGAUGUACCUGGUAGAAUUCAGUAAUUGCUUGACAACAGGAGAAUGUUUAGCAGCAGAGGGGUUCUGGACAUCCCUGACAAGGAGGUCUACUUGAGAAGCUGGCCAGAAGUCAACUUGCAUUAGAAAAUGUGCUAUUACCAAGAAGCAUGUCACCAAGACAACCGAAUAGAACUGUCCAGAGUAUGUCCUUCUGCAGAAAUAUCAAUUGAGACAACUAUCCAGGCAUGAAAUACCUUCAUAAGAACUAAACAAAACAGAGAGUUGUGGCAAAAAAAGACACACUCAACCAAGAGUUGCGAUGAAAGCAAUGUGUCACAUGAAUUGCCAAUACUUACACUAGUUAAAAGAAGAAAGAAACAAAAGAAAAUAGAGCAUCAUUAUAUAAAAGAGUCAACUUAUCAAGCAGAACCAUCCCUUUAUUCUUCUUCUUUCCCCUACAAUGAAGUGAUUCUUUACAACAUCCUGUGCUCCUUUUAAAGCCCAUUGGUUCCUUGUGGUGCUGUCAGAAUGUACAUGAGGAACGUCUACUGAAGAAAGGAAAGCCUCUCAGAAGCCAAAUACCUGAAGAAAACUCACUCUGCCUCUCAUAAGAAUCCAUCAGUGGCCAAUAUCACCUCAGUGUUUCCACAGGACGUAUCCCAGAUGAUUGAGUCGGGGGAAAGUCUACAAAAGUUUGGAUGUUGAUUAUUUCCUAAUAUCCCAGAAAUGAGAGGAAAGCCUAAACAUGAUCUAGGAUUAAGGAUACCAGCUUUUGCAGAAGAACUAAAACAACUACCCAUGUCUAAACAAGCAACUACUAGACUCUUGGGCUUCCCAUUCACAACUGCCCAUUGUUGGGUUAGCUGGACUACUGACUAGUCACCAGCCAACAAACAGGCAUUAAAUUCACCAUCCUAAGGAAAUUAUUCAUACUCAAAACAUAACAGCCAAAAGUCAUGCACUUGAAGACUUCUGUCUCUACUCCUCUAUUCUACGGAUAAAGUGAAACCAUAACUUUCAGGAAAAGAAAACAUGAGAAUGUAGAUUACAAAAGUCGGAACUGACAAAAUACAUAAAGACCAUGGGAUGGAAUUUACAUUUUGAGGAUGGCAGAGUAAUGAAUCAGAAAGAGCCUUUGACACCAACGACUCACAGGAAGUCCCAACAUGUCUCCUUAAUAUCUUCAUAGUGGUCAUAUCAUUUGAAUAUGAAGAAGAAAAAGAGCAGGUGGAGGUAUUCAACCAUGCCGUCAAUCAACUAUGCAAUGCAACUAUGCAAUGACCAAUUAAAAGAAUAAGAAAUCUAAAUGAAUAGAUCUUUUAUUAUUAAUUUCAUUUAAUACUGGUUAAGCAAGAGAGACAGUUGAAUUAGGGUUUUUAAA
rnacentral:sRNA from 1 species